UGCUGCUGGUGCCCUGAUUUACCUUGGGCAAAGAUUUACCUCACUGUUACAGUGGUUCUGGAGGGGUUUUCUCACGCCCUGAAUCAGAGACCCAGGACUGACCCAGCCGGACCAAUCUGAUCAGCACAUUGCCCUGGCCACAGUGAUUGGCUUGGAGUGAGCACAUGACUCAGGUCUGGCCAAUCAGAUGAGGCUGUGUCUUUGCUCAGGUGGUGGCUGGGCCGGAAGGAUGGGACACAAGAGCUUUGGGGUCUCCCUUGGUCGUGAGGUCAGCCCUGACCUCUGAGGUGUUAAUGGGGUGAAUCUGGGAGACUUCGGAGCAGAAGGAGAGAAAACUGCUCUUCCUGGAAGGGCUUCUGAUCAUUUGUUAAAAGCAGAUGAAAAGCUGUGAGCGGUAAGGAACUCCCCUCACUUCGUCCACACAGGGCAAACAUCAGAGGAGCCUUGAAGAACGCGGAUCACACAUUUAUACAAGCACACGGACCAAGCAUUCGGUCAGGUGUGUGUCUG
rnacentral:lncRNA from 1 species